GAAAACCGGAUUAUGGUA
rnacentral:misc_RNA from 1 species